CAUUUGGUCGAUCCAGGGCAAUGCAGCUUCUCCGGGCGCUAUGGCUUCUCUCUGUGCUGCUGUUGCUACUCCUAUUGCCGCUUGGGAUUCACGGCUUGGAGAGCGUCGAUCGCGAUGCUCUAGAGGAAGAGGAUUUGGAUCUGGAAGACGAGGAUCUCGACACAGUGGAAGGCCCCAGGAGCGAUGUGUCUAUGAAUUUCGUGGCCGAUCUCACAGAUGAGAGCGCGCCGCGCGUGAUUUCGUCGCGGGAGUAUGUUCUUCUUCUAGGGUACGCGAGCUGGUGUAGCAGGAGCGCGGCGCUGCUGCCGGAAUUCGCAGCAGCAGCAUUGGAUCUUGCUGGCUAUGGCGAUGGCAAUGGCGGCAUUCUCUUUGCCAAGAUCGAUGCCAUUGCGAAUCCAAAGACCGCCAAGCUCUAUAAUAUCAAGGGAUUCCCGACAGUGCUCUUCUUAGUCAAUGGAUCUGUCCAGCAAGCAUACACGGGAGGUGACUCUAAGGAGGAGAUUAUCGACUGGGUGAGAAAGAAAACUGGCUCGCCAGCCUCUACAGUGGUCUCAACGAAAGACGCGGAAAAUUUUCUCGCGAAUAGUUCUGUCAUUGUGGCCGGAUUUUUCGACAAAUUUGAGGGAGAUGACUACAAGAGCUUUAUCGAAGCUGCAAAGCAGGAAGUUGGCACACCGUUUAUCCAAACAAACAGCCUCAAUGUGGCGCAGACUUUUCAUUCGAGUAUUCGUAAACCACCGAUGGUGUGGAUACAGAAGAAUGAGCCCGAGUUUUAUGUUCCUUUCGAUGGGACUUUUAGUGCACAAAAUCUCCUGGAUUUUGUCGAGCUCAACAAGUUCCCUGUCGUUGUAAGGAUGACGUCUAAGAAUGCUGCCAGAAUAAACUCCAGUCCUCUUAAGCUUCAGGUGUUACUGUUUGCAAAUGAAAUCGACGUGAAAACUGUGUUGCCUCUGUUUGAGGAAGCUGCAAUGGCAUUCAAGGGCAAGUUGAUCUUUCUCGUGGUAGAAAACAGUGACAUGGACUUUGCAAUGCCAUUUCUCUCGAUGUACGGGGUUCAACCUGAGAAGCCUGUUAUCGUUGCCUUCAACUAUGACAAUGGCCAAAAAUUUCUUCUGGAGGAAGAUAUCAAUCUGCAGAACAUUCUGGCUUUCUGCCAGAAUUUGUUGUCUGGAGAUCUUACACAACACUAUAAAUCAGAGCCUAUCCCUUCCAAGGACGAGGGAGAUCUACGAAUUGUAGUUGGGAAAACGUUCGAGAAGAUUGUUCUUGAUGAUUCCAAAGACGUCUUUCUCCAGAUAACUAGCCCAUGGUGCGGAAUGUGCGAGACAGCCAACAAAACAGUAGCUAAACUCGGGACGUUUUUCAAAGGCAUUCCAUCCCUUGUCAUAGCGCAGAUUGACACAUCUUCAAAUGAGCACCCCAAGUUAGAGGUGACGACUUAUCCAGCAUUUUUGUUCUACCCCGCGGGCCACAAAAACCAACCUAUCACCGCUCACGCAAAGACAAACUUAAAAGGCCUGGUCCAGUUUGUGAAGAAACACGCAGCCAUUCCUUUUGCAAUGCCAACGACACAGCACACCAAAACCAAAACGAGCUCUACAUCAUCACCCCCUGAUAGAGACGAGCUGUAGCGAAAACUCCAACGCUACAAUGUGGUAAAUAGCAAAGCUGCUCUCCGGUAAGACGAGAGAAGCGAAGAAGCAUGAUAAUAGACUCCCGAGCAUGCUCACGUACAGGAGCUCGACAAUCUUCUUGUCGCUGCUCAAUCAAAGGCUUUUGCAGUUCACUGCAUUAGCAGUAUAGCCGCAA